rnacentral:rRNA from 1 species
UACGGAGGGGGCUAGCGUUGUUCGGAAUUACUGGGCGUAAAGCGCACGUAGGCGGCUUUGUAAGUUAGAGGUGAAAGCCCGGGGCUCAACUCCGGAAUUGCCUUUAAGACUGCAUCGCUGAAUAGUGGUGAGAGGUAAGCGGAAUUCCCAGUGUAGAGGUGAAAUUCGUAGAUAUUGGGGAAGAACACCGGUGGCGAAGGCGGCUCUCUGGACCGAUACGUGACGCUGAGGCGCGAAAGCGUGGGGAGCAAACAGG